AUGCACUGUGCGGGAAUGGCGGGUCUCUUCUCUUCCCGAAGUGCAGAGCAGGCAGGCGCUGGCAGCGGGCUGUUUUCGGGACUGCUGACUCACCGGGGCUGUGUGGCGCACAGCCUCGGCCCUGAGCCCGCGGGACGGGUUAAACUGGCGCCACAUGAAGGAACUGAAAGGCAACUGAAUAAGGCUGGCCCGGUCUGCAGUCCAAAUGCAAGGCCCCAUUGGGAUGUGUCAGGAGAGACUGAGAGAUUCCCUGUUCAAGCCAAGGGGUUGCACUGGUGCCUAUCCCUCCUUCAGAGAAGUCUCUUAUGCAAAGAACAGUUUGUCAGGUUCCUACCAAGGUAUCCAGUUUUUCCAGUGGUCAAAGACCUGAAGUCAGCACUGUCUUCUCUCAGAUGCCUCGUGGAUGCUGUGAUGAUCUGCAGGAACUCAGAUCCAAGAUGGCUGGGCAAGGGAUUCACUGAGAACGAGCAAAUCUUGGACAGACUCUGCAAAAUGAGACUGGAAUUGGGUGUCCUACCACUACCACACAUGAGGGCUUCACUUCACUGGGGGAUAGCUGAUUCAGAGCACCAUGAGAUGGAGCUCUGGUCCUGUGUGAAGACACCAGGGGCUGACAGAGGUUCUUUAGCAGCAGCACCCCAGUGA
rnacentral:lncRNA from 1 species